GCUUAGGUUAAACCACAAAACCAGUGACCUUCAAAGUCACAAACAAGAGACAGUAUCUCUUAGCCCC
rnacentral:tRNA from 1 species